UACGGAGGGUGCAAGCGUUAUCCGGAUUCACUGGGUUUAAAGGGUGCGUAGGCGGCUUGAUAAGUCAGUGGUGAAAGCCGAUCGCUUAACGAUCGAACUGCCAUUGAUACUGUCGGGCUUGAGUAUAGAUGAGGUAGGCGGAAUUGACAGUGUAGCGGUGAAAUGCAUAGAUAUUGUCAAGAACACCAAUUGCGAAGGCAGCUUACUAAGUUAUAACUGACGCUGAGGCACGAAAGUGCGGGGAUCAAACAGG
rnacentral:rRNA from 1 species